rnacentral:tRNA from 2 species
GGGGCUAUGGCGCAGUUGGGAGCGCGCUUGAAUGGCAUUCAAGAGGUCGUGGGUUCGAAUCCCACUAGCUCCA